AUUGAACGCUGGCGGCAGGCUUAACACAUGCAAGUCGAGCGGGGAAGGUUGCUUCGGUAACUGACCUAGCGGCGGACGGGUGAGUAAUGCUUAGGAAUCUGCCUAUUAGUGGGGGACAACAUUCCGAAAGGGAUGCUAAUACCGCAUACGCCCUACGGGGGAAAGCAGGGGAUCUUCGGACCUUGCGCUAAUAGAUGAGCCUAAGUCGGAUUAGCUAGUUGGUGGGGUAAAGGCCUACCAAGGCGACGAUCUGUAGCGGGUCUGAGAGGAUGGUCCGCCACACUGGGACUGAAACACGGCCCGGACUCCUACGGGAGGCAGCAGUGGGGAAUAUUGGACAAUGGGCGGAAGCCUGAUCCAGCCAUGCCGCGUGUGUGAAGAAGGCCUUUUGGUUGUAAAGCACUUUAAGCGAGGAGGAGGCUCUUAAGGUUAAUACCCUUGAUGAGUGGACGUUACUCGCAGAAUAAGCACCGGCUAACUCUGUGCCAGCAGCCGCCGUAACAC
rnacentral:rRNA from 1 species